UACGUAGGGUGCGAGCGUUAAUCGGAAUUACUGGGCGUAAAGUGUGCGCAGGCGGCCGCGCAAGUCGAGUGUGAAAGCCCCGGGCUUAACUUGGGAAUUGCGCUCGAAACUACGUGGCUGGAGUGUGGCAGAGGAAGGUGGAAUUCCAGGUGUAGCGGUGAAAUGCGUAGAUAUCUGGAAGAACACCAGUGGCGAAGGCGGUCAACUGGCCCGUAACUGACGCUCAGGCACGAAAGCGUGGGUAGCAAACAGG
rnacentral:rRNA from 1 species